CCUAGGUUUUCCCUUCUCCUUCACCACCUCGCGGCGACUCCUUGCAUUGCCUUGCCUCUUCGUUUGCUGUCGCCGAAGGUGUGCCCUUGCCAGAUCCCUCUGCCGAAGCUUCUCCCUGUCCCUUCCUCUCUUCCGGCCGAGCAGUGUCACCAGUCUCCUGAGCCCUAGCGCCAACCGUCGUGCCUUAAUUCAUGACCGCCGCCCCUCUGCUGCAAUUUGGCAGCACGACCAUCACUGGUGAGGUGUUAAUGGUGGAUGGAGGAUAGAUUCAUCAUGGGUUUGGUUUCGGACCGGAGAAAAUAGUGCCAAAUCCUUUAUUGUGUUUCUGCUCGACAGUGCCGAAGAGGACACAGAGCUAUGCCGUAGCCGGAUCUUGGAGUGAAGAAUUUUCAGCAGCCAACGUCCCUUAAUGGCAGCAAGUUCCAGCCAGCAAUUCUUUGGUUUCAGUACAAACCGGUGGCUGUGAAUUAAGGACUUUGACACGAGACGAGCAUCUCGAUGUUGGAUUUGACUGGAUUGAACCUGCUAUUGGAGGCG